CUGAGCCUCAACAAGAGGUUGUAGCGAUACACACAGCAUGAGCGUGGGGACCUUUUUAAAAAAAAAAAAAAGUAACACAAAGGAAGAGAGAGAGAGAGCGAGAGAGCAGUCUAACCUCUCUGUACAAAGGAGAUCUGAUCGACCCUCAUGAGUGUGGAGGGGUGGCUUGAGGUGGGAGAUAUGGUUCUGCCUCGCCUGCAUGAGUGCUCCGGAGGGAAAGGCAAACCAAAAGGCAUGCCUUUUUAACAAAAGGUGCAGAACCUGGAAAUUAAGAAAUUUGGAAAAGAAAAACAAGAAUAAGACUGAAGAUGUUGUCGGCUUUCGUUGCUGUGCUUCGGACCUUCAC